GACAGAGGGUGCAACCGUUGUUCGGAAUUACUGGGCGUAAAGCGCGUGUAGGCGGCCCUGCAAGUCGGGUGUGAAAUCCCACGGCUCAACCGUGGAAGUGCACUCGAAACUGCAGGGCUAGAGUCCUGGAGAGGAAGGUGGAAUGCUUGGUGUAGAGGUGAAAUUCGUAGAUAUCAGGAAGAACACCGAUGGCGAAGGCAGUUCUCUGGGACGGUACUGACGCUGAGACGCGAAAGCGUGGGGAGCGAACAGG
rnacentral:rRNA from 1 species